UGAAAGUAACCUACUUAUUGGGCAUAACCUACUUAAUGGGAUUAACUUACUUACUGAGUGUAACUUAGUGGGCGUAACUUGCUUACUGUAACUUAAGUACGUUGAUCUGGUGUAAACAACUUUGACUUCAGAAAAGUAUAUAAGGAAACAUAUUGCAAAAAUAAAAUUGCUGCUUGGACAUAGCCUAAGCCAGCCCUCCAGACUCCGCUUUUCUAUUUUCUUUCACUUCUGCGUACUCUCUUCCUCAGGUUGAACGAGACAUCUACGUUGGCAGUCUUGGGGACUCCUGCAGACAUAGUGUUCCCCCGCUCUGGAGGAUGCAGCCCUCAACGUGCCAUGUUGGAGGCAGAGAAACUGGACCCUGACCUACUGGUGCUUGACCUUGGACUUCCCAGCCUCCAGAACUGCAAGAAAUAAAUUUCUGUUCUUUAUAAAUGAUCCAAUCUGUGGUAUUCUGCUAUAGCAGCACAAAACAGACUAAGACAGGCAUCAAGAUUAUUCUUGCUGCAUAGAUGAGUUGGGAAAUAGUCUAUCUUCUAUUUUCUGGAUGCUAUUUUUGUAAUAUUAGCAUAAUCUGCUGUUUUAAUGUUCAGUAGAACUUGCCCAGAAAACCGUAUG